CAAGGUGUAGCUCAAGUGGUAGAGCACAUGCUUAGCAUGCACAAGGUCCUGGGUUCAAUCCCCAGCGCCUCCA
rnacentral:tRNA from 1 species